AUGAAGAAAAGGACUGAAACAAUGGCGUUGGAUCUGUUAGGGUUCAAAGCAUUGAGACCGUUCAACUUCUUUGUAAAAUUCUCUCUUCUCCUCAAGCUCCACGGCACUGACAGAAGUUCAAAAUUUCCCCGAUUUACUUUCUUCUUCCAACGAUUCUACCGCCGUCUCGAAUCGUCCUUCCUAUUUCGAUUAUCUCUCUCUGUCGCGAACUUAAUGGUGCUCUCCAUCUCAAAACGCUUCAAAAUCACCAUGAUUUCAUUCGUCUCAACCUUUACUUCCUCUUCCAUCAUGAGCUCGUAUAUGAUGAAGAGAGAGCAGAGAGAAUGCAAAUAA